CUCGCAUCGGUAAAAAUUCACUCUUCAUCGUUGAAAUUCGUUAGACCGUCGUAAUUUGCAUUUCUUUGAGUCUUUGAUACAUUUUCAUGGUUAUUAUUUCAACUAAAAUGACGUGUAAUUUCAAUAAUUUGAUAUUUUUUGGGAUGAUUUUGCUGAUUUGGGCAUCAAUAGGAAAUAGUUUGAAAUGUUAUGUUCGUAAUUGCGAAACAUCGGAUGAUAAUAAAUACGCUUGCAAUCAUACAGCUUUUACUGUUGAAUCAAAUGAUACGAAAUAUUUGAAGCAUGUGUGCCUUACACUCGAAUACACCAAAUCAAAUGAUUCCAAUUUGAAAUUCACCAGGCGAACGAUAGUUGGCCUAGGUACCUUCAGAAUCUCAGAAAGGAAUGCUACCGAGGCUUGCGAUCUAUACAAGAAUAUACAUUUAAAUAUCGCUGAAAGCAGUAACGCGUCCCAGAAAGGGCAAGUGUCAGAUGUUAUAAGUAAAUGUGUUACUUGUAUAACAGAUCUAUGUAAUAUCUAAUGCUCCUUCAGCACCUCCCCAGCAGCCUUCAUCAGAUUCUCAGAUUCGACACUGAAAGCUUCUUCAUCUAGCAUUUCCUUACAACUUCAACAGCCGAGUAUUGGAAUUGCAAUGGCAGGAAUAUUGUUGAAUUUUUACAAAGCGCAUUUUUUGUAGAAUAAUUAUUACUAUUUUAAACAUUUUACUAUAGGUACCUACAUAUGGCAAAUUCAAUGCAUAAAUGUUUGCCCUUACAGAAUUUAUUAUUUGGUAGGUAGGUAGAUUGUUUUGCAUCUUGAAUCUUGAGUAUAGGUAAUCAAUGUUUAAUUUGUGUACCUACAUACUCGCAGUGGCGGAAAAAUUUUUUUGGUUUCCCAGACACACAAGGUGCCGGGGGUUUUCUCAAAUAAACAUAUUUAUUUACAUCUUAAAUCUAAGACUAAAUCUAUAAACAAAAUGUAAUAUCUUAAUUUAUCUCUAAUCCUUGAUCUAAGAUGCAGUGGGGAGGGGGGACGGGGAAAGACAGGUUGUCCACCACGACCCAUACCCCCUGGGUGGCUGCCAAGGGCCCAAUCACCCUACCAGGCUUUGUUAUUCACUCAUGCCCAUCAGGUAGACUGAGUCCCCCAACCCAUCUUGGAAAAAGGAUUUUAGGGAGGAGAAUUUGGUGCCUGGGGGGGGUCAACAAUUGUUGGUCUCCCCUUUGCAUUACACGAGUUUCGGAUAUGGGGGGACUUUUGCAAGGAGGCCAGUGCACUUGCUAGGGACUUCACACCAGCCUCUCACAUUGGACUUAAGAGUAGAAUACUACAUAGAUAUGACUAAUUAACUUAGGCUGUAAAAUUUAGGAAAAUAGAUACCUACGAUUAGUUAACUUGGUCUAUUUUGCAAAUAUGUACAACAUUAUAAUAUAAGAAAGAAACCCACACUGGACUAUUUUGAGAAAAAUAUAAUAUUUUUAAGUAGGGCA